UAAUGCCUAGAAAAAAUAAUUUUUGUUUUACAUGUUUUCUAAAACUGUUCUAACUUCUAAUCUGGGGUGUGUAUUGAAGUAACAUAACACCCAAUUCUUUAUCCAAACCAUAUUUAAGCUGAAAAAAAAUGAGAUUCAAAUCCUUCCCUGCAGUUACUUCUUCUAUCCAAGUGAACAACCAAUAUUCAUUUCGUCAAAAUGUAAUAGCGUUCGAUACGGGGUGACCACGCAAUACAUUCAAGGAAUGAGUUUGAUAGAAACGACCUGAAAG